rnacentral:rRNA from 1 species
CCUACGGGAGGCAGCAGUGAGGAAUAUUGGUCAAUGGCCGGAAGGCUGAACCAGCCAAGCCGCGUGAAGGACGAAGGUGCCAAGCAUUGUAAACUUCUUUUGUCAAGGGACAAAAUCAGGCUCGAGAGCCUGACCGAGGGUACUUGAAGAAAAAGCAUCGGCUAACUCCGUGCCAGCAGCCGCGGUAAUACGGAGGAUGCGAGCGUUAUCCGGAUUUAGUGGGUUUAAAGGGUGCGUAGGCGGGCUGUUAAGUCAGCGGUAAAAGCCCGGGGCUCAACCCCGGCGAGCCGUUGAAACUGGCUGUCUUGAGAUGUCGAGAGGUAUGCGGAAUGCGCAGUGUAGCGGUGAAAUGCUUAGAUAUUGCGCGUAACUCCGAUUGCGAAGGCAGCAUACCGGCGGCGAUCUGACGCUGAGGCACGAAAGCGUGGGUAUCGAACAGGAUUAGAUACCCCGGUAGUC